GACGAACGCUGGCGGCGUGCUUAACACAUGCCAGUCGAACGGAAAGGCCCUGCUUUUGUGGGGUGCUCGAGUGGCGAACGGGUGAGUAACACGUGAGUAACCUGCCCUUGACUUUGGGAUAACUUCAGGAAACUGGGGCUAAUACCGGAUAGGAGCUCCUGCUGCAUGGUGGGGGUUGGAAAGUUUCGGCGGUUGGGGAUGGACUCGCGGCUUAUCAGCUUGUUGGUGGGGUAGUGGCUUACCAAGGCUUUGAUGGGUAGCCGGCCUGAGAGGGUGACCGGCCACAUUGGGACUGAGAUACGGCCCAGACUCCUACGGGAGGCAGCAGUGGGGAAUAUUGCACAAUGGGCGGAAGCCUGAUGCAGCAACGCCGCGUGUGGGAUGACGGCCUUCGGGUUGUAAACCGCUUUCGCCUGUGACGAAGCGUGAGUGACGGUAAUGGGUAAAGAAGCACCGGCUAACUACGUG
rnacentral:rRNA from 1 species